CCCUGCGUAGCCCUGCGAAGAGUGAACUAAUUGGGGCUAAGGGAAAGCCUUGGAAAGCCCCUUAUUCCUGUUUGAACUGCAAAAGAAAAAUUGAGAAAUCUAAAAUUAUACAGCAUAUGAAUAAAAUGAAAAGACCAUCAGAUCCAGUAUAUGGGAGUUUAAGGUGUUGGACUGGGGUGACCCAGGUUCAAGUCCAAGUCCACACUUAACCUGGAAACUCACUUUGGAUCUAUCACUCACUCUUAGAAGGAUGUGGAUAGAAUUAAGGUCAAGAUUAAUACUGGACAGGUGGAAUUGAAUCACAAAGGAGAUUCUCACAGUUUGUGAGGGUUUUGCAUCUCACUCCUUA